UUACGGCCAUACCACUUUGAAACGUACGAUCACCGAAGUUAAGUAACGUUGAACCUGGUCAGUACUUAGAUGGGUGACAGCUUGGGAAUACCAGGUGAUGUAAG